rnacentral:rRNA from 1 species
AGUGAACGCUGGCGGUAGGCCUAACACAUGCAAGUCGAACGGCAGCACAGUAAGAGCUUGCUCUUACGGGUGGCGAGUGGCGGACGGGUGAGGAAUACAUCGGAAUCUACUUUUUCGUGGGGGAUAACGUAGGGAAACUUACGCUAAUACCGCAUACGACCUACGGGUUAAAGCAGGGGAUCUUCGGACCUUGCGCGAUUGAAUGAGCCGAUGUCGGAUUAGCUAGUUGGCGGGGUAAAGGCCCACCAAGGCGACGAUCCGUAGCUGGUCUGAGAGGAUGAUCAGCCACACUGGAACUGAGACACGGUCCAGACUCCUACGGGAGGCAGCAGUGGGGAAUAUUGGACAAUGGGCGCAAGCCAGAUCCAGCCAUACCGCGUGGGUGAAGAAGGCCUUCGGGUUGUAAAGCCCUUUUGUUGGGAAAGAAAAGCAGCAGGUUAAUACCCCGCUGUUCUGACGGUACCCAAAGAAUAAGCACCGGCUAACUUCGUG